rnacentral:rRNA from 1 species
UACGGAGGGUGCAAGCGUUGUCCGGAAUCACUGGGCGUAAAGGGCGCGUAGGUGGCUUUUCAAGCGCGCGGUGAAAGCCCGGGGCUCAACCCCGGGUCGGCCGUGCGGACUGGGAGCUCGAGCACUGUAGGGGCGGGUGGAAUUCCGGGUGUAGCGGUGGAAUGCGUAGAGAUCCGGAAGAACACCGGUGGCGAAGGCAGCCCCCUGGGCUAGCACUGACGCUCAGGCACGAAAGCGUGGGGAGCAAACAGGG